rnacentral:rRNA from 1 species
GAAAAGUCGUCUCAGUUCGGAUUGGAGUCUGCAACUCGACUCCAUGAAGCUGGAUUCGCUAGUAAUCGCGCAUCAGCCAUGGCGCGGUGAAUACGUUCCCGGGCCUUGUACACACCGCCCGUCAAGCCAUGGAAGCCGGGGGUGCCUGAAGUGCGUGACCGCAAGGAGCGCCCUAAGGUAAAACCGGUGACUGGGGCUAAGUCGUAACAAGGUACC